UGAAGUAAGUAAGGGCGUACGGUGAAUGCCUUGGUGCCAACAGGCGAAGAAGGACGCGGCAAGCUGCGAAAAUCCUCGGGAAGCUGCAAGCAAGCGAUGAUCCGGGGGUAUCCGAAUGGGGUAACCUGAUCGAGGCAAUACUCGAUCGUUCAUACCUGAAUACAUAGGGUAUGAAACGCGAAACCCGCUGAAGUGAAACAUCUCAGUAAGCGGAGGAAAAGAAAGAGAAAUCGAUUCCGUAAGUAGUGGCGAGCGAAAGCGGAUGGAGCCCAAACCGAAGGUACUCCUUCGGGGUUGUAGGACCACGAGAUAUUCGACCAUACUGGAUAGUAGAACAGCCUGGAAAGGCUGGCCGUAGAAGGUGAAAGCCCUGUAGACGAAAUCCAGCGUGGGAAUUAGUGGGAUCCUGAGUAAUACAUCACACGUGGAACGAUGUAUGAAUCAGCGCGGACCACCGCGCAAGGCUAAAUACUAGUUGGCGACCGAUAGUGAACAAGUACCGCGAGGGAAAGGUGAAAAGAACCGCUGUGAGCGGAGUGAAAUAGAACCUGAAACCGUAUGUCUACAAAGUGUCAGAGCAGAGCAAUCUGCGAUGGCGUGCCUUUUGUUUAAUGAGUCUGCGAGUCAGUGUUUGUGGCAAGACUAAGGGCUUCCGGCCCGGAGUCGCAGCGAAAGCAAGUCCGAAUAGGGCGAAUUAAGUCGCAGGUACUGGACCCGAAGCGGAGGUGACCUACCCUUGGCCAGGUUGAAGCAUGGGUAAAACCAUGUGGAGGACCGAACAGGUGAACGUUGAAAAGUUCUCUGAUGAGCUGAGGGUAGGAGUGAAAGGCUAAUCAAACCCCGUGAUAGCUGGUUCUCUUCGAAAUGCAUUUAGGUGCAGCGUCACGUGCUGAUGCGCGGGGGUAGAGCACUGACAAGGCUAGGGGGCACACCCGCUUACCAAACCUUAUCAAACUCCGAAUACCGUGCAAUGGAACGUGGCAGUGAGACAGUGGGGGAUAAGCUUCAUUGUCGAGAGGGAAACAACCCAGACCAGCAGCUAAGGUGCCUAAAUAACGCUCAGUGGAAAGGAUGUGGGAUUACACAGACAGUGAGGAUGUUGGCUUAGAAGCAGCCACCAUUUAAAAAAUGCGUAAUAGCUUACUCAUCGAGUGAUCCUGCGCCGAAAAUGAUUGGCGAUCAAGCGUUAUACCGAAGCUCUGGACUUUACCUUACGGUAGAGUGGUAGAAGAGCGUUGCAUGCGCGUUGAAGGGUGAUGGCGACUGACCCUGGAGCACAUGCAAGUGAGUAUGCAGACAUGAGUAACGUAAAGCCGGGUGAAAUCCCCGGCCGCCGUAAACCCGAGGUUUCCAGGGCAACGUGUUUCGUCCCUGGGUUAGCCGGGACCUAAGCCGAGGCCGAGAGGCGUAGGCGAUGGAUAUCAGGUUAAUAAUCCUGAGCUCGCGACCCUUAAACUGGGGGGACGCAUGAGAAAAGAUGACUAGGUUAUUGAAUUCCGAGUUGAGUCCACGGACUCAGCGCAUCAUUGGAUCGAGUGCCAAGAAAAGCCCCAGCGUAUGCUAAGCGACCCGUACCGCAAACCGACACAGGUGGGUGGGUAGAAUAUACCAAGGCGUAAGAGUGAAACCUGGUUAAGGAACUCGGCAAAUUAGCCCCGUAACUUCGGAAGAAGGGGUGCCUGCAGCGAUGCAGGCCGCAGAGAAAUGGCCCAACCGACUGUUUAUCAAAAACACAGCACUCUGCAAAGACGCAAGUCGAAGUAUAGGGUGUGACACGUGACCAAUGCCGAAAGAUUAAGGCAAGGGGUUAGCCGCAAGGCGAAGCUCUGAACCCAAGUCCCGGUGAAUGUCGGCCGUAACUAUAACGGUCCUAAGGUAGCGAAAUUCCUUGUCGGGUAAGUUCC
rnacentral:rRNA from 1 species